GAUGUGGAGGAGCUCAUGGGUCUAGGUUCUGAAAAAGUUUUGCUGAAGUGGAUAAAUUUUCAUCUGAAAAAAGUUGAGUAUGAGAAGCAAGUUACAAACUUCUCUUCAGAUUUGAAGAUGUAGGCGGCUCGACAAAUCUGAAUAUGGUUAUCGAACAAGCAGGGAAGAUGGACUGCAAGAGAUACAUUUCAGCAUAGGAUAUUGUAGGUGGCUCGACAAAUCUGAAUAUUGCCUUUGUUGCUCAAAUUUUCCAACAUAGGAAUGGCUUAACAGUCGACACCAAAAAGACUUCGUUUGCUGAGAUGAUGACGGAUGAUGCUCAAACUUCAAGAGAAGAAAGAUGCUUCAAGAGAAGAAAGUGAUAAGUACUACAAGAGUGAUUAGGGGCAAAGAUGGGUUCUGCUAGAAGUUCUUGAAAAAGUUUCGCCGGAGUUAGUUAACUGGAAAAUCGCCAAUAAGCCUCCCAUCAAGAUGCCGUUCAAGAAGGUUGAGAACUGCAUUCAAGUUGGCAAAAGAUUUGAGCUUCUCCCUUAUGAAUGUGGCUGGUAACGAUUUCGUGCAAGGAAACAAGAAGCUCAUACUCGCAUUUUUAUGGCAAUUGAUUGGGUAGACACGGACACAGACAUACUAAACUGGGCCAAUGGAAAAGUCAAGAAGGCCGGUAGAGCCUCUCAAAUGGAGAGCUUCAAGGACAAGAAUCUCAGCAGUGGGAUUUUCUUCCUCGAUCUCCUCUAUGCGGUUGAGCCACAGAUGAAGACAAGAGGCUGAAUGCUAAUUUACAUCAUCAGUGUGGCCAGAAAACUCUGGUGCUCCAUCCUAUUACCUGAGGACAUUCUCAAGAUGAACCAGAAGAUGAUGCUCAUUUUGACAGCAAGCAUCAUGUACUCGAAGUUGGGGCAGCAGGAGGAGGAUGGUGAAUCUGGGACUGAUGUUGCCGUCUGUAGCUCAGUGGCAGCAGAAGUCUCUGACUUGUCCAUCGACAGUGCUGUUCCGUCUGACUAGGAGGAGAGUUCUAAGUGAUCUUGAGGGUCAAACUAUAAAUGAUAGGCAGCUGAGGAUUGUUUAAUUAGUGACCCUUGUAAAACUGAGAGACCUUGGGCUCUGUUUUUGGUUGGAUGCAAAUGUUUCUGAGCAAACUUGUUUUUUUCUCACGACCACUUGUGAAUAUAGCCACGCUAUGUAGUCUUUGUUUCUUUGCAGGUCCAGCAUUGGCCAGGCCCCUAAUCCACUCCUGCAACUUGAGCCUCGGGUCACUUGAGAUUGUACAUCUCAUGUGUUUUAGAAAGCAAGGUGAGGAGAUGAACUUAGACAUGAUUUUGUUUGGAUCAAUUCUACGAAAUAUUACACGCUUUUAACUCUGCAGGCAUGUUAUGAAUUCAUCGGAUGAAGAGGGGGGGAUUCUAAUUCUACCAGAGUAUGUUGAUGAGUACUAUUUUGUUGAUCUUCCUUAUGCUGUUGCUUGGGAAGACUGACUGGAAAGCAACUAGUUUUUCAAUGGAAGUUUGAUCUUCCUUAUGAACAACUUGAUAUCUCUGUGCAUUCAAGUUAUUGGGUUUCUAUCAGGAUGGUUUUCCUUUUUCAUAGGGGCUCAUGUAUUGUGAAGUUGAGACAUUACUUUACCAAGAAAAUACAUACGCCUUUCACCCGAGAUGCUUACCCAGCAUUCAGAUGUGAAGUGUCUCCAAAGGGCUUGGGAAGAGGGCUGCUAUUUCUACAACCACACUGAGAUGUUGUGUAUAGUAGAAAAGACUCCACUGGUGUUUGUGCAAAGCAGAGGAAAACUUCUCCUGUGGCAUGAAUAUGGAAUCCAUACUUAUAUAUUCAUGGGACAGCCUCCGAGGAACUUGGUGAUGAUGAUGACAUGGACAUGUCUCUCCCAUCACAUCUCCUACGACAUUGGUCCUGAAGUCAAAUCACAUAAUAUACAUAGAUUUUGGCCAUUCUACUAAAUGGAAACUUUUGUUUGGGCAUUACACAGAUAUUUGAACCUUGUAGAUGAUGCAUGCAAUAGAACCGACAAGACGAAUGCUCUGUUUUGGAUCGAAACAGUUGGAAUUCCGAUCAUGAAACAAUGUCGGAAACGCAUUCUCUCGCACAAGUUCACACCAAACACAUUCAUCAGGUGGAGCGUAGA